rnacentral:rRNA from 1 species
GAUUAACGCGGGCGGCGUGCAUAACACAUGCAAGUCGAACGAUGAAACUUUUUUGAUUUCUUCGGAAUGAUUAAAAGUGGAUUAGUGGCGGACGGGUGAGUAACGCGUGAGUAACCUGCCUUAGAGAAGGGGAUAGCCUUUGGAAACGAAGAAUAAUACCCUAUGAAACCAUAACCUCGCAUGAGGCCUUGGUCAAAGAUUUAUCGCUCUAAGAUGGACUUGCGUCUGAUUAGUUAGUUGGUGGGGUAACGGCCCACCAAGACAGCGAUCAGUAGCCGGCUUGAGAGAGUGUACGGCCACAUUGGGACUGAGACACGGCCCAGACUCCUACGGGAGGCAGCAGUGGGGAAUUUUGCACAAUGGGGGAAACCCUGAUGCAGCGACGCCGCGUGAUUUAGAAGGCCUUCGGGUUGUAAAAAUCUUUUCUAUGGGAAGAAAAUGACAGUACCAUAGGAAUAAGGACCGGCUAAUUACGUGCCAGCAGCCGCGGUAAUACGUAAGGUCCGAGCGUUGUCCGGAAUCAUUGGGCGUAAAGGGUACGUAGGCGGGUAAGCAAGUUAGAAGUGAAAUCCUAUAGCUCAACUAUAGUAAGCUUUUAAAACUGCUCAUCUUGAGGUAUGGAAGGGAAAGUGGAAUUCCUAGUGUAGCGGUGAAAUGCGCAGAUAUUAGGAGGAAUACCGGUGGCGAAGGCGACUUUCUGGCCAUAACCUGACGCUGAGGUACGAAAGCGUGGGUAGCAAACAGG